rnacentral:rRNA from 1 species
UACGUAGGCAGCAAGCGUUGUUCGGAAUUACUGGGCGUAAAGAGUGCGUAGGUGGUGUUCCAAGUCUGGUGUGAAAUCUCCCGGCUCAACUGGGAGGGUGCGCCGGAAACUGGAAUGCUUGAGGGUGGGAGAGGUAAGCGGAAUUCCUGGUGUAGCGGUGAAAUGCGUAGAUAUCAGGAGGAACACCUGUGGUGUAGACAGCUUACUGGACCAUUUCUGACACUGAGGCACGAAAGCGUGGGUAGCAAACAGG